GUUGUAGCUCAGUGGUAGAGCACUUGCCUAGUACCUGAGGCACUGGGUUCAACCCUCAGCACCACA
rnacentral:tRNA from 1 species